GGGGAAUAUUGCACAAUGGGCGAAAGCCUGAUGCAGCGACGCCGCGUGAGUGAAGAAGUAUUUCGGUACGUAAAGCUCUAUCAGCAAGGAAGAAAAUGACGGUACUUGACUAAGAAGCCCCGGCUAACUACGUGCCAGCAGCCGCGGUAAUACGUAGGGGGCAAGCGUUAUCCGGAUUUACUGGGUGUAAAGGGAGCGUAGACGGUUCUGCAAGUCUGGUGUGAAAGCCCGGGGCUCAACCCCGGGACUGCAUUGGAAACUGUGGAACUAGAGUGCAGGAGAGGUAAGUGGAAUUCCUAGUGUAGCGGUGAAAUGCGUAGAUAUUAGGAGGAACACCAGUGGCGAAGGCGGCUUACUGGACUGUAACUGACGUUGAGGCUCGAAAGCGUGGGGAGCAAAC
rnacentral:rRNA from 1 species